CCGUAGGUGAACCUGCGGAAGGAUCAUUGUCGAGACCCACUGACGAGGACGACCGUGAAUGCGUCAACGAUUGCUCGUCGGGCUCGUCCCGACAACACCCCCGAAUGUCGGUCCGCCCUCGGGCGGGACGACCGAGGGGAUGAACUACCAACCCCGGCGCGGAUAGCGCCAAGGAACACGAACAUCGAAGUCGGAGGGCCUCGCUGCAUGCAGGAGGCUACAAUUCCGACGGUGACCCCAUUGGACGACUCUCGGCAACGGAUAUCUCGGCUCUCGCAUCGAUGAAGAACGUAGCGAAAUGCGAUACCUGGUGUGAAUUGCAGAAUCCCGUGAACCAUCGAGUCUUUGAACGCAAGUUGCGCCCGAGGCCAUCCGGCUAAGGGCACGCCUGCCUGGGCGUCACGCUUUCGACGCUUCGUCGUUGCCCCCUCGGGGGGUGGGGGCGAACGUGGAGGAUGGCCCCCCGUGCCGUAAAGGUGCGGUUGGCCGAAGAGCGGGCCGUCGGUGGUUGUCGAACACGACGCGUGGUGGAUGCCUUGUGCGAGCCGUACGUCGUGCCUUCGGGACCCGGGCGAGGCCUCGAGGACCCAAGUCGUGGUGCGAGUCGAUGCCACGGACCGCGACCCCAGGUCAGGUGGGGCUACCCGCUGAGUUUAAGCAUAUCAAUAAGCGGAGGA
rnacentral:rRNA from 1 species